GGUAAAAGACGAAUCUGCCCCUGACGUACAGUUUAGUAAUUAGGUCUACGAUAUUUGCAUCUGCGAUAGAGAUUUUGAUGAAACAGAAAACAACAGAGAGAGAGAGAGAGAGACAGAAGAGCGAGAAUAUAGCUUCUCUCUCUAAACUCACCUCCGAGAGUCCGAGAGAAAAUCUGUAGUUCCUGCUUCCUAGGGCACUCGCUCCUGAACUCUAACGUGAGAAAAAUUGGAAAUGGACCCCAACCCCAACCCCGACCUAUCUUCCCAAGGCUCCCUCGGCUCUAUGUCAGCCGGGGGCGUCUCCACCGACACGCCAAAGACAGUUUUGGAAACGCCACGGGACCCCAUAGACGACUUCCACUCGUCGGGUUCGGAGCCUACCGACAACAACUCAUCUCGAGUUUCCGUGGACACUAUCCCGGCGGUGGGAGGGGCAUUGGCAGACGCUGUGGGGGUGCACUUUGUUAAAACGGUGAAGGCUCACUCGAUGGUUUUGAAAAUUUUUCCAAAAGAGCGACCGCCUACGUCCACGACCUGAUGAUGAAUGAGGGACUUCAAUUCGGAAUUUAUCCGCCGCCAGCACGUGGAGGAGAUGACGCAGGAGUCGGCGGAUCCUGGAUCAGGCGCGGACUCGGCGUCGAAGAGUGAGGCUUUGGAGCGCACCUUGAAGCGGAAGGAGCGUGACACUGACAACUGAUCAGCAACUAUGUUAUCUUUUAUUAGGAUUUUCUGGGUGUUUGACUGCAUGACUGAGCAACUAUGUUUUCUUUUAUUAGGAUUUUCUGGGUGUUUGUUUGACUGCAUGACUGAAUGCAUUUGUCUUGGUAUUUGAAAGUUUCCUUAAAAUUUCAUGCAUGAGUUAUGCA